rnacentral:rRNA from 1 species
CGCUGGCGGCGUGCCUAAUACAUGCAAGUCGAACGGCUUUUCUAUGGAAGCUUGCUUCCACUGAGAAGAUAGUGGCGAACGGGUGAGUAACACGUGGGUAACCUACCCAUAAGAGGGGGAUAACAUCCGGAAACGGGUGCUAAUACCGCAUAGUUUUCUUGAUCGCAUGAUCGGGAAAGGAAAGACGGCCUUUGUGCUGUCGCUUAUGGAUGGACCCGCGGCGUAUUAGUUAGUUGGUGAGGUAACGGCUCACCAAGACGAUGAUACGUAGCCGACCUGAGAGGGUGAUCGGCCACAUUGGGACUGAGACACGGCCCAAACUCCUACGGGAGGCAGCAGUAGGGAAUCUUCCGCAAUGGACGAAAGUCUGACGGAGCAACGCCGCGUGAGUGAAGAAAGGUUUUCGGAUCGUAAAACUCUGUUGUCAGAGAAGAACAAGUUGGAGAGUAACUGCUCCAGCCUUGACGGUAUCUGACCAGAAAGCCACGGCUAACUACGUGCCAGCCGCCGC